UCCGGUGGCAAAGGCAAAGGGGAACCACCUGUACACAUGCCGAACACAGAAGUUAAGCCCUUUAGCGCUGAUGGUACUUGGCUGGAGACGGCCCGGGAGACGAUGUCGCUGCCGGUU
rnacentral:rRNA from 1 species